rnacentral:rRNA from 1 species
UACGAAGGGGCUAGCGUUGUUCGGAAUCACUGGGCGUAAGGCGCGUAGGCGGCUUUGUAAGUCGGGGUGAAAGCCUGUGGCUCAACCACAGAAUUGCCUUCGAUACUGCAUGGCUUGAGACGGAAGAGGUAAGUGGAACUGCGAAGUGUAGAGGUGAAAUUCGUAGAUAUUCGCAAGAACACCAGUGGCGAAGGCGGCUUACUGGUCCGGUUCGUGACGCUG